rfam:Glycine max cultivar Williams 82 chromosome 18, whole genome shotgun sequence.
CUCUUAUUGGAUGAUGACUGUCACGUGUCAUGUUCUGAUUGAUCAAUGAAAACAACGUAUUUCACAGUAAAAACGUGACACGUGAUAGUAAAUUGUU